GGCAGUUAAUGCACGGCAGGAAAGCAGUCAACAUCAGUAGGCUCCAGGAGCAUAAGAUUUGUUUUGCAUUGAUUGCUGAAGAAGUGCAGCAAAAACAGCAAUGAUCUUACGAUGUAUUCCGUGGCUAUUGUACGGCAUGGCUGUGACUCCGUCCUGCGAGGUGCCCUCUGCACUGGACCUGAAGCUGAUGAAGGAGGUGACUGUCAACCUCGGCGAGAACCACGCCAUCUCUCCGUUCGUCAUGUCCACCCUGAUGUCUCAGGUCUGGCUGGCCACCAACGGCUCCACAAGGGAUGAGAUAACGCCUGUGUUGGGCGUGACUCAGCCGGCGCCUCUGUCGUUCCUCACCGCCUACAAGUCUGCCAUCAGCUACCUGUCGAGCUCCUCCGCAUCCAGCCAGCUCACCACCUCCGUCUUCAACCGGAUGUACGUCAGGAGCGGCUUCAGCGUGAGGCCUACCUUCACCAACUACCUGACCGCCUACUACGGAAACACCGUGGGCACCUUCUCCACACCGGCACAAGGUGUGACGCUCAUCAACGGAGAUGUCGCGGCGGCCACUGAAGAUCGCAUACAAGACCUCGUACAAACCAGUCAUCUGCGAUUCGCAGAAGUGGUUCUGGUUAGCGCGAUGUAUUUCAAAGGUGUUUGGAAGCAGACCUUUCCUCCUGCCGCGCCUGGUACGUUUCUGACGGGGAAUGGAGAGAAGCAGGUUAACAUGAUGAAACUAAAUCUGACCGAGUUACAGUAUGCAAAUAUGGGUACAUACGAUGUUGUGGCUCUUCCGUAUACGGAUGAGGAUUAUUGUAUGCUUUUGAUUAGACCUUUGGAGCGUAGCAUGUCGGCAGCAACUGCGCUACGAAACUCCCUGGGCACCCUGAGCGUAAACAGUAUUGUUCAGCAAUUGGUCGGGCAGCCAGUCUAUGUUACGCUUCCUCGUUUCAAGAUUGAAUCAGAUUAUUCUCUGGUUGACGAUAUGCAGCAGUUGGGCAUUAAGCAGAUAUUCAGUGCUGGGGCUGACUUCAGUAGUCUAACUGAUGACUGGCAAGGUCUCUUUGUGACCGCCAUUCUCCACAAAGUGUUCAUUGAAGUCAACGAGAACGGCACAGAGGCGGCAGGAGCAGGUGCCGUGAUCAUUGGUCGCGGAAAUCCGCCCGCAGAUUUCAAAGCAGACCGACCAUUCUUUGCAGUGGUGUACAACAAGCAGCACAAAAUCAACAUGUUCACGGCAUAUGUGGGUGAUCCUACACAGGCAUAGGAUCCUAUCCCACCCCGCGUUGCCUGGAUAUUCACAAUAUUGGAUAUGACUCUAUGAACUUGAAACGGCAAUGUCGGAACCCGCGGUCUUUGUGCGAGCGCAAUAUUGUGGGGCCUUUCACACCAAUUAGAAAAAGCUUUCUGCACUGAUAGUGACCAAAAUGGGUGCAUAGCAUCUGGGUUUUAUCUGAUGUCAUGAUGUGGUAGGUAUUUUAUUAGGUAUUUUCUUGAAUCGUUCGACAGUUUUUGGCUGUCACCUAGCAGUUCUCUAAAGAAAAAGACGAAAUACUUAGAGUGAUGUUUUGAGUUAUUGCAUUUAUGUUUAUAAUAAAGAAUUCGUUUUAUGGUCGAUGAAAUAGUCGGUAAGCUUGAAUAGGUAAGUCAACUGGUGGGAUAUUUUAAAAGUUGUUUUGGGUUAACUCCUCAUGCUGUGAGUCUGGAUUCGAAAUACACGAAAUCCCGUAAGUGAAGCAGCUGCCUUUACUUUUUCUCUGCGGGUGCUGCUAGUAUUCUAGAGGUACUACAGCUUUCAUAAGGUCCCCAGGAAAAGGCUUGCACGCUCAUAUGAGCCCUUAGGAUAUCGCAAAAAAAUAAUUAUAACUCUUGUUCAUUUAUUUGGCAGAAGAAAUUAGAUCAAAGAGGUGAUCGAAGAAAAAUUGAACAAAACCAACAAUUUUUUAGCAAAUGGCUGUUAUGGUCGACGUGACCCAAAUAAGGUAGAAUACAUUUGUCAGUAAUAUCUGAUAUCGGCUCAGUAGUAAGUCAUCAGGAAGGAGGCAAGCCGAAAAAGCUCCGAUAAACUGUAAACUUGACAAGCGUUAUGCAAUGCAGCCACACCUGUGUGCCUGCCGAUCUGCAGUGCACGGCCGCUAGCCCACCGGCGCGCCCUUGCCCUCUGCCCUCUGAGGACCAGUGAGCCGUGAUCAGCAGCAUGAGCUAAUACACAUUAACGGAGCCCGACCGGUAUAAAAGCCUGUGCGUUCCAGACCGAGGCACCAGUUGCAUCUGCUCGGGGCUAGUCAGAUACUGCACAGAGGAGAGACACCAUGCUGAAACUGGCGGCGUUCCUGUGUCUGGCUGUGGCCGUGCUGGGCCAGCAGCAGUUCGAGCGGCGCAGGCUCGGCCAGGGCCAGCAGUUCGGACAGUCGCGCUUCGGCCGACCGCAGCUGCGCUCGCAGUUCGGUCAGCUUCCUCAGCAGCAGCAGUUCGGCCAGCUGCCGCAGCAGCAGCAGUUCGGCCAGCUGCCGCAGCAGCAGUUUGGUCAGCAGUUCCAGCCCCGCCAGCAGCUGGCCCAGCCGCUGACCCAGCAGCUGGAUCAGUCCGCUCAGCAGCUCGAUCAGCCGCUGAGACUGCAGCUGGACCAGCCACUGAGGCAGCAGCAGCAGCGUAGCGAUCCGGUGCCGAUCCUCCGUCAGAGCAACAACCAGAGCCCGGAGGGCAGCUUCCAGUACGAUUACGCGUCGGCCGACAGCAUUGAGGUCGAGGCCCAGGGAGAGCAGCGCCAGAUCGGCGACGGCGUCGGCACCGUCAUGCAGGGAUCCUACUCGUACGUCGCCCCCAACGGCGAGCUCAUCGAGGUCAGGUGGAUUGCUGACGAGAAUGGCUUCCAGCCUAUCGUUUCCCGCAGCCCCAGCCAAUAAUCGACCUCGACAGAUGUAUUCUCUUCAUAUCAACUAGAACACAACCAGCACACCAACCGAGCAGCCAUGACUGUGAACCACUCGAUGAAUUAGUGUAUUUUAGUGUCGAUGGAUUAGUGUCUUAGUGUCACUUUUCCGCUUUUUGUGAGUGUUAUUUCACGUAUAGUUUGAUCACAUGACGCGAAUGCACUUACGACUGCUUUGUAACUGCGUCUGAUGUAGCUAUGUCUUCAACUUCUGGCAAAUUUUAGACUUAACAACUCUAACGCACGUCGCACGAAAAAAGACUCUGAACUUUCUGCUAGGGUGGAUAUUUUGAGGCAAUAGUUACCUUCUGCUUUGAUGUCAUACCAUACCUGCAUCGUGUGAUAUUGUUGCAAGCUAUGAAAAUACAUGCAUGUAAACAAGCAAA
rnacentral:misc_RNA from 1 species